rnacentral:sRNA from 1 species
GCCGGGCAUGGUGGCGCAUGCCUGUGGUCCCAGCUACCCGGGAGGCUGAGGCAGUAGGAUCGCUUGAGCCCAGGAGUCUGAGGUUGCUGUGAGCUAGGUUACACCACAGCAUUCUAGCCCAAGAAAAAGAGCGAGACUGUCUCAAAAUAAAUAAAUAAAUAAAUAAAAAACAAAGCAACACCAGACCUCUUUUUUUUCUUUGAGACAGAGUCUCGCUUUGUUGCCCAGGCUAGAGUGAGUGCCGUGGCGUCAGCCUAGCUCACAGCAACCUCAAUCUCCUGGGCUCAAGCGAUCCUGCUGCCACA